CGAACGCUGGCGGCGUGCUUAACACAUGCAAGUCGAACGCGAAAGGGACUUCGGUCCUGAGUAAAGUGGCGCACGGGUGAGUAACGCGUAGAUAACCUGUCUUCAUGUCUGGAAUAAUACGCCGAAAGGGGUACUAAUACCGGAUAUUCUUGCUUUUCAUAAGUUAUGCAAGCAAAGGUGGCCUCUGCAUAUGCUACUGCAUGAAGAGGGGUCUGCGUACCAUUAGCUAGUAGGUGGGGUAAUGGCCUACCUAGGCGACGAUGGUUAGCGGGUCUGAGAGGAUGAUCCGCCACACUGGCACUGGAACACGGGCCAGACUCCUACGGGAGGCAGCAGUGAGGAAUAUUGCGCAAUGGGGGAAACCCUGACGCAGCGACGCCGCGUGAGUGAAGGAAGGCCUUCGGGUCGUAAAGCUCUGUCAAGAGGAAAGAAGUGUACAAUGGCUAAUACCUGUUGUAUUUGACGGUACCUCUAAAGGAAGCACCGGCUAACUCCGUGCCAGCAGCCGC
rnacentral:rRNA from 1 species